AGGUACACCGCGUACACCCCGAUUGCUGCGCGCUAUUGGCAUCAGCCUGACAACUGCUCGCCAAGUUUUGCUAGCC
rnacentral:sRNA from 5 species